UCAGGUGGUGCCACCUCGGCAAGGCAUGACCGAGUCACCGGGCCACGCGGGGGUGAGCAGGAGCGGCCAGGCACUGAGAAAGGGCGAUUUCAACAUUGCAACUUUCCGCCUCGGCUUUUCUUUCCCCCUUCGCCUACCCUAAGUGGCUUAAGGAGUGUCUCCCGUAUAGUCAGUGAGUCUGAGGACAGCACUUUUGCAUAGAAAAUACAGGUGUUGCCUGAUAAAUGAAUGAACACCACGCCACACUGACUUGCAGUCCAAGGGCUAUUCAUUCCAAAAUGAUAAAGAAGGAGAAGCAAAUUAACUACUUAAAUAUGGAAUAUAUACUAAGUUUUUAUGGGUUCUACUGUAUCAUUGUAACUGCCAGUAUCAGAGAUUAAAUAAAUAUAGAAAAACAACUGAGUAACAGAACUGCUAAACCAUACCUGAUGCUGAUGGCCAUGUUGCUAAUACCCCACUGCCUACACUGUCACCAACAGGAUUAGUUGGUCUGAGAAGAAAGGGGGUAGAAGGGGAUGGAACAAAAAAUUCAGUUGUAGUACCAGCAAAGACUACCCCAUACCAUGAACAUUUUUUCUGCUCAAAGACUAAAACCACUUGCUUUAACACUGACAGCAGAAUCUUAACUCCAAUUACAUGUUGCUAAAGUUCAAGCUUUAUUAGUGACUGGAAAGAGGAAGAAGAAAAGAUGGAAUGAUGGCAGUGGUCAACAAAGGGUGAACAACAGAUGUCAUAUUGUAAUGGAGAUACCGCUCUGUGUCCAUACAUCCUGCUUCUUCUAAAAUGUAGAAAAUAUAAUAAGGAGAAUGACACCAGACAUACUGAAUUCUUUCUUCUACAAACCCUGUAAACCAGUUAUGCUUGAGUGAAAUACCUUCUAGUGAGAAGUGGGGACAGUUUCCACUGCCACAGAUGAGCACCUAGCCCCUCUUUACUGACUUCUUCAUUAUGUUACAUGGAAAAGCAUCAUCAUUGCAACUAAAGAAUUACAUCUUAGGACAUGGCCUCUGCACAGCAUAUCCACUCCCAAAAAGAACUCUUUUUAUCUGUAGAUAAUGAAAUGAUCAUCUCUCAUCUGGGAAAAGUGUACAAUAUGCCUUUUAAUAACUGCAUAAUGAGGCAAUGGUUAAUAUCAUUAUGUCUGCUCCUACAGUCUUUAUUUAUUACUUGCAAGCAGUCUCAUUAACACUGCUGAUUGCUGAUAUGACUUCUGUGGCUGUCUGCCAAACCAGGAAUGAAGAACCAGUACCUCCAAAUGAAAAUUAACUCACCUGUACUGAAAAAUACUGUUACUCUUGUGGAAGAUAAUCCAAAAUUUAUGUUGCACAUAUAUAUCUAUACUGUAAUUUUUUAAAAAAACAUUAUUCAUUAUUCAAUCCUCUAUUUUUAGAGGAUUUUAAAAGCCACCUGUUCCUAAAAAGCAACACAGUUUAUUCAGUAUUAGGAGUAUUCAUAUAGGUUAU